AUCCACGUCACAGACGAGACGGGGGUUGGCCAAUUUUAAACACCCAUGUGUUCAGAGUCAGGAUGGGAAGUUAAAUCUGGAGCCAGAGGCCCCAGCUUUUCAGAGUAUAGCACGGGCUCUCUAAUGGAAGGUCCCCUGGGCGGGCUUUCUGAGGGGGAACACUUUUCACCUGGCCUUGCUCAGCCUCCGGUGCUGAUUUCCACCUUUGGAAGUGCAGUGUGGAAUAGUGAGAACUGCUGUGUCCUCCGGUGCCCUCAGCUCGUCUGGAACUUGCAGAGCAGGCGGCCCGCAGCCACCACGACCCAGGGUUCCGUUGUUGCCCCCAGCACACACAAGCCUUGCCCUCGAUGGCCUGUGUGUCAUGAUGGGCUGGGAACACAGAUCAGCUGCUACCGGGUGUGCAGGACGGGGGAGCAGCUCCACGGCCCACUGCGAGCAGCCCUUUCAGCCCUGAGACUUUCCGAGAUCUCCUGUGCAUGCAGGAAGUUUCCUUCCCUGGCGUCAGAUGUAGCUCUGAGCUGUCGUCUUCAGAUCCGAGGAGCCGGGCUCCCUGCGGCACACGAGAGCGGCUUCCUUGAGACAUUUGUCCUUGAAACUGCACCAAACUCUUGGAAGAGCCUAGAACGCAGAGCUACAACUGAUUGGUUCAUCAGUGAACAGUAUCCAAUUAUGAAGAUGUAAGGAAGACGACCUCCACCGACACUGUCACAGCUUGAAAGCCCAUUUUAGAUAUUUUGGAGAGAUAAGAGGCCAAUGAUACAGAAUAAAAACAUGAAGUUAAGCUGCGGCAACUGAAUACAGUCAUGGGCUGCAGAGUGACAUUUCAGACACUGACAGGCGGCGUGUACGGUGGGCCCUAAGAUUUCAACACACCUGACAAAUCCCCAACACUGUGAGGACGUCGUAGUGCAGGGUAUACCUGUGGAUUUGCUGACGUUACUGUAAAGAAGCCUCCUGUGCUGCAAGUUGUGUAGAAAAGCGCAGGCGAGGCUGUUAUGUACAGCACAUAAAACUUCAGAGUGACAAUAACCUACUGCGUUGGUGGUUUAUGUGUCUGUGGGACAUGAUUCUAGUCAUCAUUUCAGCGUGUGCACUUUCUACUUGUCCAAAUAAAUGUGGGAUGUGAGGCACAGACCCUCAUGCAUGUCAUUCAUCGUAUUGAGAGGUCAUGCUGACCAACGGGCUGUCCUGUCUGAGUUGUGUUAGGACACAGGACAAAAUUGCCAAUGACACAUUUCUCCAACUUGUCCCUAUCACGGCACACCCACAUGCUGUCAGCCAGAGGCUGCACGCAUAGCACGUGUCCGGUGUGGUUCUUGUACAUGCGGUUCAAAAUCUGAUCAGAGUAACCUCGGGUGUUAAAAAUCAGUACAGUGCUUACCUGUGAGGCAGAAGAAGGAAGCGAUGGUGAUCUGUAGCCAUCUGAGGAAACUCUAAGAUGCGGUGGAUCGGGUAGCAGAUAAAAUAAAAAGUGUGUUCACUUUGGAAUGAGUAGUCAAGUGGUAUAGAUAAUGAUCUGUGCACUUUUCAGCGUAAUGUUUAAUAAAAACUUGCUGCAAUGUAAAGCAAAUGUCAAACAACAUAUUUUUCAGGGUUAUAUACCCAGGUGGCAAAACUGUAAAGCGGCAUGAACAGAUCAUUGCCUGUAAGGUCCGGUUCCUGGUUUUCCGUGCAUGGGAGGAGGGAGUUGAGCGAGGAAGGGCUCACAGGUGUCGGGGAGGAGUCAGGGCGCCCACACUGUAACUCGGAUGAGGGGACGCUGAUAUUCAUCUUAUUAUUCUUUACAUUUUGCAUGUAUGUUUUAUACUUUUUGUGUGACACAUUCAUUUUCACGAUUCUAAAAUGCUUCCUGGAGUUUUGGUUCAGGAUAAAAAGGGACCAGCAGCAGCCACCCUGUGUCUCCCACUGAGUUCAGCUGUAAAACCUGUCAGAAUUCAAGGAGUCACAAGGUGAGGAUUCUGAAAAGGAAGAGUAGAUCAGACUUGGAAAUGUUGCUCAGCUAGGGGCAGUUUACCAUUGUUCCCUUUGCUGGCUCCUGGAUUGAUCUCAUUGUGAUUGAAACCCAGAAGUGGUCACUAGUGGGUAGAGAGAUCUGGGAGAGUAUUCUAGUUGUAAUUGAGAAGUAGGGACGAGAAAAAGAGUGUGUGGGCACCCAGCUUUCUUAGCUCUGCUCCUCUGAGGAUGUCUGUGGUUCAUCUACAUUUCUGUGCAUUCGUGGGUUUAUACAAAUCCACAUCAGCAGUCUUUGUAGCACCUUUAAGUGUUGUACUUCUUUCCGGUUUUCAUGGUUUCUGAGAAGAAAUCUGUUCUCAUUUACAAUGCCGCCCCUCAAUAGAAAAUGCAAGAUUUUAUCCUGCCGCUUUUAAGUGGUCUGGUCUUCACUGAGUAGCACUUUGAAUGUAGUAUGUCUCCAUAGGAAUUCACCUGGAUUUAUACUAUUUGGCUUUCACUGAAUUUCCUGACUCUCCCCUCUUUUGUCACCCCUCUGACACAUUUCUCCAUUCCCUGGCCUCUCUACACAUCCACAGAAGUGCCCUUGAUGACAUGACAGGGUCUGCAGGGACCAGCGUCUGAGGAUGGGGCCACCUUCUCUCCUCAGUGGAGCUGUGGUGCUAAGAAGGUGGGAGGAACACAGCCCUCUCCUCUUUUCCCCUUUCUCAUCCUUGCAUUAUGUGGCUGAAUAGGGUAACCAGAGCCCCAGCGUUAUGGGUAGAAGGCUAAAAGAACAAGCCCAAAGGAGGAGAUGAGGCCAGCGACAAUGCAGUGGUCAACAGCUUGGGAAAGCGACCCCAUGAAGAUGUUUCUAAACGUUUGAUCCCGCCUCCGGGGGCGGGAUGGCCCAUGUCCAUCCUGGCCACUGGGGGGCGCAUCCACAGGGAAAGUCAGGAUGGCGCUGGAAGGGCUUUAAGAAUCCACCUGACACUGGGACCAUAAACCUCAGACCUAGGGGGCCCUGCCGGGUUUCUCCUCACCAGUUUGCCUGCUUGCUAAAACAAAAUGACCACAUGCUCCACACGGUUUAACCUUGGCAGGUAGUCUCAUAACACGAUGAUUACAAUAUCCAAGACGACAUCUGAAAUUGCCCGGCAUAGUAAGAACCACGAGAAUCUCAAGCUACGUGGGGUGGGGGACACAUUCUGGUGCCGGGAAGAUACAGAUGUUGAAUUUCCCAAAGACUUUUAUAGAAGCUGUUCUAAAGAUGCUUGCCAAGCAAUCAAAAAUACUUUGGAAAAAAAGUUAAAAUGAAAAGUCUCAGCAAAGAAGUGGGAAAUACAAAGAGAAAUUAAGUGAGAAUUUUACAACUGAAGAACACCAUAACUAGCAAUAAGAAUUUUACUAGAUCAGCUCAACAGCAGAAUGGAAAAGAAAGAGAAGAUUCGACACACUUGAAAUUUGGCCCAUAUAAAUUAUCCAACCUAAUAAGCAAGGGAAAAGGGUUACAGAAAAAGCAAACGGAGCCU
ensembl:lincRNA